GCGAAAAAAAAAGGAAAAAAAAAAAAAGCUAACGAGAGAGAAGGAGCGAAGCAAACAAAGUCAACCCCAAAACUUCAAAAUAAAUGGCGCUGUCUGAGAUCGCGCAGAGGAAAAAUGUGAGCUCUAGCAAGUCUUAUGAGAGGGCUGAUUUAUAGAAAUGAAUGUUGCUUCCUUGAAUCGGUGCAGCGGGGAACGUGAACUCUAACAAGUCUUAUGAUGUUUUCUCCUCUACCUGGAAGUUGGAAGGAUGAUGAUUCAACAAUGUUAACUGGAGAUGUGAUGAGAUUGUAAUGCUGGCCCUUGAUGUCUGGUGGCCAUCCUACGCAAGCUGCUGGGCAUGAUGCACCUGUCAAAGAAGUUGCUUGGAUUGAACAGUUGAAUUGCCUUGUUGUGGGGAGCUGGAGAAGACAUU